UAAGUCUAUCAUCAGGCUCAACGCCGGUGUCCGCAACCUACACUCAGUCUGGAUGUGAGGACAGAGGGCUCCGUGUCUUCGCUGGAUGGACUCUCAGAAGUGGGGAUGGAUGGAAUGACAGUAGUAGGGCUGGUUGUAACAUUGGGCUACUCUGGCGCUCAGGUCGCUCGCAA